rnacentral:tRNA from 1 species
CCGUAGCCCAAUUGGAUAGAGCAUCGGACUUCUAAUCCGGCGGUUCUGGGUUCGAGUCCCAGCG